AUCCUACUGACGAGUCCCAAAUAGGACGAAACGCGCGUCCUGGAU
rnacentral:hammerhead_ribozyme from 1 species